CGCUAUCACUCCUACGGGGAGGCAGCAGUGGGGGAAUAUUGCACAAUGGGCGCAAGCCUGAUGCAGCCAUGCCGCGUGUAUGAAGAAGGCCUUCGGGUUGUAAAGUACUUUCAGCAGUGAGGAAGGCGGAGUCGUUAAUAGCGGCCUCGUUUGACGUUAGCUGCAGAAGAAGCACCGGCUAACUCCGUGCCAGCAGCCGCGGUAAUACGGAGGGUGCGAGCGUUAAUCGGAAUUACUGGGCGUAAAGCGCAUGCAGGUGGUUUGUUAAGUCAGAUGUGAAAGCCCGGGGCGUCAACCUCGGAAUUGCAUUUGUAAACUAGGCAGACUAGAGUACUGUAGAGGGGGGUAGGAAUUUCAGGUGUAGCGGUGAAAUGCGUAGAGAUCUGAAGGAAUACCGGUGGCGAAGGCGGCCCCCUGGACAGAUACUGACACUCAGAUGCGAAAGCGUGGGGAGCAAACAGGAUUAGAUACCCUGGUAG
rnacentral:rRNA from 1 species